GCCAAACUGUAGUCACCAGCGAUGUAGUAACGCAACAAUACAAUUUUGUGACGUCAUGUAAUUGAGACACGUUAUGGGAUUUUUAAGCGAUGUUGACGUCAUCAUGCGGCGACAGGAAGAUGGCGGCUUUGUGUUUGUUGGCGAAGCUGAAGCUGAAGGGAGACGAGGAAAAGAGAGUGUGUGUUCCCUUAAACGGUUCUCUGUCUUCUCUGAGCUGUGGAAUCAAGGAGCUGAAUGUGAAGGUGUCACAGCUAUUGACGUCACUGCUGCAGAAUGAGCUAGGUGCAGGUGAAGAUGAAGAAGAUGAGGAAGAGGACGAGGAGGCCGGGUCAAAAGGUCAACGACCACUAGCUAAAAGACUGAAACUGUAGACAGCCGAGAAUCAUCUGACCUAUGACAGAUUUGUGACUUUACUCAUUUGUGUUAAAUAAAGUCAGUUGUAAAUCAG